UCAGAUCUCAAAAUAAUGCGGCGGACAAAUAUAAGCGAGGGAGAAGUUGAGGUUCUCCUUUUAAAGACCCUCAGGACUGGAAGGAGGCUGAUUUAAAGCGGAUCAAUCUUUAAAUAGGGAGCACAAUUUAUUUUUCCAUGAGGUCACAAGCGAAGACGAAGCAGCCCGGAAAGAUUAAUGUCAAGUUACACCAGCUUGUGGAGGAAUGAUGCAAACCCCAAAGAGCCAGAGUAAUAAGGUUGUUUUUAGAAAUGGCUGACCUCAGCUAUUGACAUAAAUGAAUUCACAGCAGUCAUAAAUUUCUUUUCCCCCUUAAACAGCGGAUUUACUGCCGGUUUUAGAGCUGCCAUUACGCAAGUUUUUAAAGACCAUCCUACACUCAUUACCCAUUGAAUACCAGCACACCGGGCAGCCAUUACAGCAUCCUCUUUCUCAGAGGGGUGAGCUCACGCUAUUCUUUAUCGAGAGCUACAAAGCAGCUCAUUUUCCAUAAACAAACUUAACCCAAAUGUGGCUGCUCCAAAGACCUAAAUAAGGGAUCUCAACCCUAAAUCAAGAGCUUGCACAAUAAG